AGACAUGCUCGCGAAGAAGCCGAAGGAGGAGCCGCCCCCCCCCCCCACCUCUCUCCCCCCUUCCUUCAUGGCAGCUUCUUCCUUCUUCUCUUCACUUUUCCUCCCCUAACCCUAAUUUCCAUCUCUUUCAUAGCUCCAAAACUCCACCAAUUCUCGUUCUCCUCCCUCCGAGAGAAAAUCGUUUGCCGUACAUAGCGACCGGAGAGAUUUUCUUGAGACUAGCUUCGCUACUGAUUAAUGGCUGGAGCAGCGGGGCACUGUUGUCGGGGAUUCCAGAUCUGUGACCAUGUUUGAGCCUGAGGUCCUGUAGCAGCGGAGGCUGAGCGUCAAAGGUGCGUGGUUACCAGUCCUCGAUUUAGUAUCUCCGAAGCCGGGCUUUUGUUUCUGUACAUAUGUAUACAAGAAACUGUGUAUCUCACGACUAGAUAAUAUAGAUCCCUUCAAAACAUUUUGUUUAGCUCGCUUUGGGAUUCUGUGGCACAGUCUGUAUCUGAACUUCCAUUCCGUUCCGCCCAAGUUGGCAGGUAGGAAUAGUAGUUUUCUGGCCAACAAGAUAGAAAUGAAGAGAAGGCGAGAAGCGAAAUACAAGUCCGAUGGCACUAAACUUGGCGAGGUCUAAACGCAGAUGAAACCAGCUGAUCAGAAAGCAAAACAUGAGUCCCGCCAGAGCAACGAAGCAGAUCCACCAGAUGGAGAUAUAUUUUCAACGCAGAAACAAGACACAAAUUAAAGGCUCUGUAUAUAACAAUUCUCCCCAAUAACUCCGUCCAACUUGUUCGCAAUGAUCUCUCUGAUUAUUAGUUUAUAUACAACAAUCACGAGUAAGGUAAGAAUUAAGAACUAUUCCUCCCUCUUUUUCUUUGUUUUUUUCCCCUUUUUAAUAUAAGGUCAUCACUAGUACUGUAUCUCCCACUCUGAAGAUGGAUUAUUGAGUGUGCUUGGCGAGCAAACUCACAUAUUCAUCUGCUUAAUUCUCUAACUUCUAUCAUUUUCAUGCUGACAAGAAGAAGGUAAAUGAAAAUACUCUAAUAAGGGAACAACUGCUCCUGGCCAAAAAGUAGAAGGUAUACUUUCUUUGACCCAAUAUAGAUUGUUACAUAUUUUUCGUUUUAGCAUGAUAAGAAGCUCGUACGUUUAUCUUGUUAUGGGAAAAUUCAAUACUAAAAAUGUAGAAAUUACAAUACCCUCCACAAAUUUCAUAACUUGUAACUCACUAGUACAAAUUUGACUUUUUAUGGGGAGACUUUUUACAUAGGUUGUUUGGCAAAUGAUAUAGAAAAUCAAGAAGGUAGCAAUUUUUUAAUUAUCAAUUUGAAUUGAUAUAGAAAGUUUUUUUUUACAUCGAUUCCUAAAAAGUAAUAUUUUAUACAUUGGUUGCUUAGUAAACUGAUGUAAAAAGUGAUUAAAAUUUUAAAAAUUUUAAGAAUUUGUAAAAAGUGAUUAAAAUUUUAAAAAUUUUAAGAAUUUAUUACUUUAUACACCGGUUCCUUAAGGAACCAACAUAAAAAGUCUUUUAAAAGUUCCCUUGCAUUCACUGAUCUCCAUCAUCACUCUCAAGGUCUCACUACUGAACCCUAGAUCGUCAAUAGAUAACUCAUCGAACCCCUCAUCUACUCUAGCCUCCAACAUCUUCAACCUCUCUAUUCUAAACUCAUCAGCUGUUGCUAUUGCAAUCUCUGAUCUCCCCUCCAUGCCUCCUUGUUUGCCGCUGUUGUCCGUUCACUCCUCUGUCAUCAAUGCCUCCUCAUCGUCGUUAACCCACGGUGCUCCUAUUCGCUGUGCCCUAAACUUGUUGACCUUCGUUGAUGCUCUUUCUUCGAUAUUUUGCUUGUAUUCCUCCAUUCUUGCCAAGAGAAGAGAGGUAAUGUUCUAUGGGUUAAAUGCCCUAUUUGAUUUAGGAGAUUUAGAAUGGUUGCUCUCUAAUUUAGGAUGCACGAAUCCUUCAUAUAUAUCCUUGAAUUAAUGAAUAAUCCGCUUUAGAAUGGUUGUUCUCUGAAUAUAUAUGCGUCAUAUGUUAUCUCACUUGAUUUGUUUUAUUCCUAUUUAGCAUGCUGGGUUUGUGUUUUUUUCCCUUUUUCCCAAUGGCUUGUGCGUAUAUUCGCAUUCAAUUCAAGCUUUAACAACUACAGCUUUGAUUGGAUGUUUUGGGUGUUGGAUCUAUCGCCUUUACAUUCUUGCCAAAAGAAUAAGAAAGGACUACUGGUUUUAUUUUGUUGCAUUAUUGUGUAUUUGGUUUGUAUUUGAUGGAAUCUGUUCAGCAAUAAGAACUGUAAAUUAGAGCUGCUUCACUGAGAAAAAGGAAAAAAAAGCUAAAGAAGACUAGAACAAAGGACUUGGAAUUAGGCAUUUUGGUGGUGUCCCUUUGGGAGAAGCCUGCACUUAGUGGUAGUUGUACAUUUCUGUUCUAUCACUUAACAAGUAUUCAUUAUUUUGUGUUUGUUUAAGAAUCUUGGCCUAUUCAGAUGUGUAUAUGUGAAUGAAAAAGAGAUACGACAGAAAAGCAAGGACUAGGAGUGUUGGGUAAAUUUACUUGUAUCACUUCAAGCUUACUAAUAUAGCUGUGGUUGAUCUUUGAAUCACUUUCUGAUUUUUUUAAUCAUGUACUCCUAUAUAUAGCUUUUACAGAAAAUAAACUGGCACUGGUACAUGAUUAAUUAUGAAAGAUGAAUAUAUAUACAUAUAUGCUGUGA